rnacentral:rRNA from 1 species
AGCGAACGCUGGCGGCAGGCCUAACACAUGCAAGUCGAACGGAUCCUUCGGGAUUAGUGGCGGACGGGUGAGUAACACGUGGGAACGUGCCCUUUGGUUCGGAACAACUCAGGGAAACUUGAGCUAAUACCGGAUGUGCCCUUCGGGGAAAGAUUUAUCGCCAUUGGAGCGGCCCGCGUCUGAUUAGCUAGUUGGUGAGGUAAAGGCUCACCAAGGCGACGAUCAGUAGCUGGUCUGAGAGGAUGAUCAGCCACAUUGGGACUGAGACACGGCCCAAACUCCUACGGGAGGCAGCAGUGGGGAAUCUUGCGCAAUGGGCGAAAGCCUGACGCAGCCAUGCCGCGUGAAUGAUGAAGGUCUUAGGAUUGUAAAAUUCUUUCACCGGGGACGAUAAUGACGGUACCCGGAGAAGAAGCCCGGCUAACUCCGUGCCAGCAGCCGCGGUAAU